GUCUUUUUGAGUUAUUUUUAAAGUCUGACCUGCCCACUGAAUUUUUAAAUGGCCGCAGUAUUCUAACUGUGCAAAGGUAGCAUAAUCAUUAGUCUUUUAAUUGAAGGCUGGUAUGAACGGUUGGACGAGGUAUAAACUGUUUCAUAUAAAUUUAUAGUAGAAUUUUAUAUUUUAGUCAAAAAGCUAAAAUUUAAUUAAAAGACGAGAAGACCCUAUAAAUCUUUAUAUUUUAUGUAAUUUAAAUUUUUUAGAUUUAUUUUAUUUUUAUUAUAUAAAAUAUUUUGUUGGGGUGAUAUUAAAAUUUGAUAAACUUUUAAUUAGUUUAAAUCAUUAAUUUAUGAAUUGUUGAUCCAUUAAUAGUGAUUAUAAGAUUAAGUUACUUUAGGGAUAACAGCGUAAUUUUUUUGGAGAGUUCAUAUCGAUAAAAAAGUUUGCGACCUCGAUGUUGGAUUAAGAUAUAAUUUUAGGUGUAGCCGCUUAAAUGAUAAGUCUGUUCGACUUUUAAAUUCUU
rnacentral:rRNA from 1 species